AAGUCGUAACAAGGUUUCCGUAGGUGAACCUGCGGAAGGAUCAUUAAAGGAAAUGAAAAAUAAUACUAGUGCACUAUAGGUCUUAUAGGCCAAAAAAACAGAAAGACUGAAUAUUAUUUGUUUAAUUAUUUAGACAACUUUUAGCAACGGAUCUCUAGGCUCUC
rnacentral:misc_RNA from 1 species